rnacentral:rRNA from 1 species
GCAUAUCAAUAAGCGGAGGAAAAGAAACCAACAGGGAUUGCCCCAGUAACGGCGAGUGAAGCGGCAACAGCUCAAAUUUGAAAUCUGGUCCCCAGGGCCCGAGUUGUAAUUUGUAGAGGAUGCUUUUGGCGAGGUGCCUUCCGAGUUCCCUGGAACGGGACGCCAUAGAGGGUGAGAGCCCCGUCUGGUUGGAUACCAAGCCUCUGUAAAGCUCCUUCGACGAGUCGAGUAGUUUGGGAAUGCUGCUCUAAAUGGGAGGUAUAUGUCUUCUAAAGCUAAAUACCGGCCAGAGACCGAUAGCGCACAAGUAGAGUGAUCGAAAGAUGAAAAGCACUUUGAAAAGAGGGUUAAAUAGUACGUGAAAUUGUUGAAAGGGAAGCGUUUGUGACCAGACUUGGGCCCGGUUAAUCAUCCAGCGUUCUCGCUGGUGCACUUUGCCGGCCCAGGCCAGCAUCAGUUCGCGCCGGGGGAUAAAGGCUUCGGGAAUGUGGCUCCUCCGGGAGUGUUAUAGCCCGCUGCGUAAUACCCUGGUGCGGACUGAGGUUCGCGCUCCGCAAGGAUGCUGGCGUAAUGGUCAUCAGCGACCCGUCUUGAAACACGGACCAAGGAGUCGUCUUCGUAUGCGAGUGUUCGGGUGUCAAACCCCUACGCGUAAUGAAAGUGAACGUAGGUGAGAGCUUCGGCGCAUCAUCGACCGAUCCUGAUGUUCUCGGAUGGAUUUGAGUAAGAGCAUACGGGGCCGGACCCGAAAGAAGGUGAACUAUGCCUGUAUAGGGUGAAGCCAGAGGAAACUCUGGUGGAGGCUCGCAGCGGUUCUGACGUGCAAAUCGAUCGUCAAAUAUGGGCAUGGGGGCGAAAGACUAAUCGAACCUUCUAGUAGCUGGUUUCCGCCGAAG